UUUCCCCAAUUUCUUCUGCUGUUGCUCUAUGCUACUCACUCCAUCUUCUUCCCUCCUCCAUCUGCAUCGUCGUCCUUGUCAAAAAAGCGCCGAACGAGACAAAACAUUGUUGUCUCUACAUCUGAGCAUCUCAUUAUUUUUCUGGGCACGGCAAAGGCGUAACUUUUGGGCAGAUUUGGGGAAGCAAGAACUUCCGGUGUCUGGGCAAAUCUGGAGCCCUGAUUCUGGCAUUAGCAUAUUUGAACAUGGAUUCAGAGCCCUGAUACUCUAAUACGAAUUGGUGAUUGAAAACAAGCCAUUGUAACAAAAAAGGAAGAAAUGUAAGGUCUUUGUUCUUCAUUGGUCCAAUUUUCUCUAUAUGUGUUUUAAUAAUAAAACGGCAUAAACUCAGUAAUAGGCUUGUUUUAAAUGGAUGAUCCUCAUUUUAAAGUUUAGAGCAAUCCAUGUGAUGAUUGAUGAAAAGUGUGCUGACAAUUUCCUUUUCUUUUUUAUAUUUUGUUUUUGCUAUAAAUUUUUAUCAACAAAUCUGAGCAUGUUAUCUUUUUAUUGUCA